UUUUUUUUUUUUUUUUUUUGAAGUUUCUAGCAAAGCUGUACUGAAUAUAUAUCAAUUUUACAUUUAUGUUUCAGGUACAUAUACUUAAAUUUGAUGUGUACGACGGAGGAUGGGGCUUCAAUUAUUUUAAUGAGAUUACAUGAAGAAAGAAAGAUUCAAAAGGGCUUCACAUGAAAGAAAAAUACAGAUUUAAAGCAGAAUAAUGUGGGACAGAAAGAAAGAAGAAACCGGGGAGUCUUAGGUAAUAUCGGCAAUCUUGCUCCAACCAUUGUUGUCGAAACUGGAAAACCGACUCAUAUAUGUCGCCCCAUCACAAGAAAUUAUUGUGCCCAAUUGGCUGCAAAUGCACAAGGAGCAGCAGGCAAGAAUGUUAAGGUAGCAAAGGAUGAAGGGUUUGAGCUGCCAUACAGUUAUGAAGAAGCUUCUCAAAGAACCUAAAUUCUCAUUCUACCCUUUGACUAUUAAUUCCAUGCUCUGGCGUUGGAAGCCAUGUUCCAGCUUAGCAGUGAUACGAUCUUAGAUCUACAGGCGACUGAAUAGGCUAAUAAUGUGAUGCUAAAGGCCUAGAAGAAACACGAACUCGGUUUUUCCGUUCCCAAAUAAUCACGAGGAAAGAAAAACCGUAUUCGAAAGAAAGUGUCGAAGACGGGAGGAUAUCCAAACAAUCUGCAAUUUUUACGGAACCAAUUGUGCGACCAAAGAUGUUCGACGGCGUGUUACUUUGCGUUGAAGGCUAUAGCUGGUAUGUGUCGUUCAAUGACAUGUCUGACGUAGGUAAGGGUCGCGGUAAAAAAGGUGUAAACAAGGAUGUGGUGGAGUUGCGAAUGCUCUUGACGCUUUGUGCACAAGCCGUUGCGGCUAAUGACCAAAGGGGUGCAUUCGAUCUACUAAAUCAGGUAUGAAAACACGCCAGACACCAGGCGCCACCUCAGCUGCUUUUGAUAUGAAAACUCCAGCAAUUUCUAACAUGUCGUUGUCACACGAGGUUAACAUUUGAUAUUUUAUUAUUAAGUUAUAUGUCACAAGUUAUAAUAAUAUCAUGGUGCUCCUCUGAAGCUCGAUGGCUAACAACAAAUUACAUAAUAACACUAUAUUAGUCCAUAUAAAACAAGCACUUAAAGAUGAUUAGUAACACUAUAUUAGUCCAUAUAAAACAAUUGAUUGCAUUUUUUUUUUAUCUAUUUUAUUUUAAAUUUUAGUUCUGCAAAUGACAAUGGAGGAUGGCUUCAAGAACUUGAUGGCGACGGAAGAACUCCACGGUGAUGGCAGUUAGGGUGAAGAGGAUGGCUUCAAGAAUUGGUCUACUUUGCUAUGUUACUAAUUGUUCACUGUAGGUUGUUGGUUGUAGUGGUUCUGCAUUGUUGGUGCCAUUGUAAAGGGGACCAUACAAUGCUCAAUUUUUGGUGGAUUUUAUAUAAUAAAUAGCUGAACCUCAAUAUUAGAAAAAAAAGUAUUGUUUUGUGUUGUCUUAUUGUAGUCAUGGCUUUUGGUUGGUGUUAAUUGUAUAUUAAAAGACUAUUUUUAUACUUUUUUGGUUCUUUUUUGUAAAAGAGGCUCGAUUUACUCAAAAAAAGGUUU